GAGGUGGAGGAGGAGGAGGAGGAGAAGCAGUGUAUCCAUCAAAGACAGCCACUGAAAAGAAGAAGAAGAAGAGAAAUAGAAGCAGAUGUACCUGGCUAGCUCUGGCUGCAUUUGCUCUCAAUGAUAAACUAGGUUGUGUUUGUGUAUCGGCUGUCUAAUUCUAAUGUGGCUAAUGGUGACUAAAAUGGGCUAAUGGUUAAUGGUCUUAAAUCUAAUUUAGAGUUCUUUUGGUGAUUUUUUGCAUUCACAUUUUUUUAUUUUUAAAAUCAUAUUUUACAAAAGUUGAAAAAUAAAUGUAACAUACUUAAUGAGUUUAUAAAAUUUAAAUUAUUUUAAGUUAUGAGUAAUGAGGUAUGAUUAAAUUAAAAUUAUAAUACAAUAGAAAAUUCAAAUUAUCACUUUAAUAUUAGAUUUGAUUAAAAAUAAAAUUCAUUUAAUGCAUUUUAAUGAUGAUUUUACUCUUGUAAGUAAUUUAAU
rnacentral:misc_RNA from 1 species